UGGCUGAAAACUGAAAAUAAACAAUCCAGACCGUUAGAUUUAAUCUACACUAACUCAUCAAAUCUCAGCCGUUGAUAUUUUUCCUCUCAAUUUGCACACUCUCUCUUUCCUCUAGUUUCUCUCUCCUACUUCAUUUUCACGUUCUUCUUUCUUUUCUAAUUUCCUCUACUUCCUCUCUCCAACUUUCUCUCUCUUACUUUCCCAAUUCUUCUACCAUGCUACUUUUUCAAAUCUGGCUUCAAUUACUUUGAUUUUCAGCGAUUUCUCAGCUCUACAAUCUAUUAUCAAUAGUAUAUUGGCAUUUGUCAAUACUAUAGAAUGGUUUUGUAAAAGGAUUGAAAACGAAAAGUAUCACUAAGAAAAAGAAACCUUCUAUUGUUGAGAAUACAAAUGAAACAAUGGAUGGGAAUGCAAAGGACGCUCAACCUGCUAUAGCUUUGUCUGCUAUCAUGGAAGGAAAUAAGGGGAAUGAGGCUUCUUCUUCACAUGCUAUUGUUUUGUCAGCUAAGAAGAGAAAAUUGGAUGAAAAUGAAGGUCGUAAAGUGAAAAAAGUGAAGACAAACAAGGAUAAGAACAUUGUAAUUCAUAGGCAAGAGUCUGCAAUCAUAGAUGGUGAUGUACAUAUGUAAUGUAAAAUUAGUCUUUAUAAACAUAUGAAGUUAUAUUUUUAUUAAUAACAUUGUUAUAUAGUAUAUUUAAAUAUAA